rnacentral:rRNA from 1 species
GUGGGGAAUCUUGCGCAAUGGGCAAAAGCCUGACGCAGCCAUGCCGCGUGAAUGAUGAAGGUCUUAGGAUUGUAAAAUUCUUUCACCGGGGACGAUAAUGACGGUACCCGGAGAAGAAGCUCCGGCUAACUUCGUGCCAGCAGCCGCGGUAAUACGAAGGGGGCUAGCGUUGCUCGGAAUUACUGGGCGUAAAGGGCGCGUAGGCGGACAGCUUAGUCAGAGGUGAAAGCCCAGGGCUCAACCUUGGAAUUGCCUUUGAUACUGGCUGUCUUGAGUUUGGGAGAGGUGAGUGGAACUCCUAGUGUAGAAGUGAAAUUCUUAGAUAUUCGGAAGAACACCAGUGGCGAAGGCGACUCACUGGCCCAAUACUGACGCUGAGGCGCGAAAGCGUGGGGAGCAAACAGGAUUAGAAACCCGGGUAGUCC